rnacentral:rRNA from 1 species
GAUGAACGCUGGCGGCGUGCCUAAUACAUGCAAGUCGAGCGAACGGACGAGAAGCUUGCUUCUCUGAUGUUAGCGGCGGACGGGUGAGUAACACGUGGAUAACCUACCUAUAAGACUGGGAUAACUUCGGGAAACCGGAGCUAAUACCGGAUGAUAUUUUGAACCGCAGGGUUCAAAAGUGAAAGACGGUCUUGCUGGCACUUAUAGAUGGAUCCGCGCUGCAUUAGCUAGUUGGUAAGGUAACGGCUUACCAAGGCAACGAUGCAUAGCCGACCCGAGAGGGUGAUCGGCCACACUGGAGCUGAGCCACGGUCCAGACUCCUACGUGAGGCCGCAGUAGCGAAUCUUCCGCAAUGGGCGAAAGCCUGACGGAGCGACGCCGCGUGAGUGAUGAAGGUCUUCGGAUCGUAAAACUCCGUUCUUAGGGAAGAACAUAUGUGUAAGUAACUGUGCGCAUCUUGACGGUACCUAAUCAGAAAGCCACGGCUACCUACGU